GGGGGUGCUACACGCUUGUAUUGGGAGAGCGCUUGAAUGGCAUUCAAGAGGUCAGCGGUUCGAUCCCGCUUAUCUCCACCA
rnacentral:tRNA from 1 species